rnacentral:rRNA from 1 species
AGAGUUUGAUCCUGGCUCAGAACGAACGCUGGCGGCGUGCUUAACACAUGCAAGUCGCGUGCGCAGUUUCCGUAGCAAUACGGGGAUGGGNNCACGGCGCACGGGUGCGUAACACGUGGGCAAUCUGCCCUCCGAUGGGGAAUACCCCCGCGAAAGCGGGACUAAUUCCGCAUAACAUUCCUUGGAUUAACUUUCGAGGAUUCAAAGCAGCAAUGCGUCGGAGGAGGAGCCCGCGCCCGAUUAGCUAGUUGGUGAGGUAACGGCUCACCAAGGCAAUGAUCGGUAGCUGGUCUGAGAGGAUGGCCAGCCACACUGGAACUGAGACACGGUCCAGACUCCUACGGGAGGCAGCAGUGGGGAAUCUUGCACAAUGGGCGAAAGCCUGAUGCAGCGACGCCGCGUGGGGGAUGAAGCUUUUCGGAGUGUAAACCCCUUUCGACUGGGACGAAUGCCUCGCAAGAGGAGUGACGGUACCAGUAUAAGAAGCCCCGGCUAACUACGUGCCAGCAGCCGCGGUAAGACGUAGGGGGCCAGCGUUGUUCGGAAUUACUGGGUGUAAAGGGUUCGUAGGCGGUGUGGCAAGUCGGGAGUGAAAUCUCUGGGCUCAACCCAGAGACUGCUUCCGAAACUCUGUGCUUGAGUGUGAGAGAGGCUCGUGGAAUUGCAGGUGUAGCGGUGAAAUGCGUAGAUAUCUGCAGGAACACCCGUGGCGAAAGCGGCGAGCUGGAUCACUACUGACGCUGAGGAACGAAAGCUAGGGGAGCAAACAGGAUUAGAUACCCUAGUAGUCC